rnacentral:rRNA from 1 species
AGGGUUUGAUCAUGGCUCAGAACGAACGUUGGCGGCGUGGAUAAGACAUGCAAGUUGAACGCGAUUUUCACCGUAGCAAUACGGUGGGAGUUGAGUAGCGCAAGGGUGCGUAACACGUGAGAAUCUACCCUGAAGUUGGGGAUAACUCGCUGAAAGGCGAGCUAAUACCGAAUGUGACCGCAAGGUUAAAGCUGGGGACCCGCAAGGGCCUGGCGCUUCUUGAUGAGCUCGCGGCCUAUCAGCUAGUUGGCGGGGUAAAGGCCCACCAAGGCAAAGACGGGUAGCUGGUCUGAGAGGACGACCAGCCACACUGGAACUGAGACACGGUCCAGACACCUACGGGUGGCAGCAGUCGAGAAUUUUUCUCAAUGGGCGCAAGCCUGAAGGAGCGACGCCGCGUGGGGGAUGAAGGGUUUCGAUCCGUAAACCCCUGUCAUUUGUGAACAAUGGCCAUUGUUGAAUAGGCGGUGGCUUGAUAGUAACAGAAGAGGAAGGGACGGCUAACUCUGUGCCAGCAGCCGCGGUAAUACAGAGGUCCCAAGCGUUGUUCGGAUUCACUGGGCGUAAAGGGUGCGCAGGUGGCGCCUCAAGUUUGAUGUGAAAGCCCCGGGCUUAACCCGGGAAUGGCAUUGAAUACUGGGGUGCUGGAGGUUUGGAGGGGGGACUGGAAUUCUCGGUGUAGCAGUGAAAUGCGUAGAUAUCGAGAGGAACACCAGUGGCGAAGGCGAGUCCCUGGACAACACCUGACACUGAGGCACGAAAGCCGGGGGAGCAAACAGGAUUAGAUACCCUGGUAGUCCCGGCCCUAAACGGUGCGCGUUUGCUGUGGGAGGAAUCGACCCCUUUCCGU